CUUUACCAGUUUCACAGAGGUAGGUUUAAUACCCAGUCUUUUUUAUAUUCUAGAACAUCAAUUGGAAUUACACUUGAUUGAUCAUAUUGCUGAAAUAAAUUAUAAAUUAUGAGAGGCAAUCGGUCUGAUACAAUGGACCUUUGGUCAUAUAAUCAAGCUGUAAAUAAAUGGGUUCAUCAUUUGAGGUACAACUGAAUACAUCAUCGAAGCCACUGCAGACGUUCUGGAUGAGUCAGUAACAGCAGAACUAAUGUACACACCAAAUCCUGUCCCAUAGAAUAAUAAUACCACUAACAGAUGAGACCCACAGGUAGAAAAAGCUUUAUAUUUUCUGCCAGGUGAUGGUACUCUCAAAAGAGAACAGAUGAUCUGAGAAUAAGAAAAAAUGAUCCCAGACAGAGAACUACCACCCAGAAGGACAGACAAGAAAUAAACCAAAAUAUUAUUGAUGAGAGUGUCAGUACAAGCAGGUUUGAUGACCUGAGCAAGUUCACAGAAGAAGUGGGG
rnacentral:lncRNA from 1 species